rnacentral:rRNA from 1 species
UUGGAGGGCAAGUCUGGUGCCAGCAGCCGCGGUAAUUCCAGCUCCAAUAGCGUAUAUUAAAGUUGUUGCAGUUAAAAAGCUCGUAGUUGAAUUUCGGGGUUAGUAGGCUGGUUAUGCCACUGGCAUGUACUGGUCUUACUGAUUCCUCUUUCCUGAUGAACUGUAAUGCCAUUAAUUUGGUGUUGCAGGGAAUCUGGACUGUUACUUUGAAAAAAUUAGAGUGUUUAAAGCAGGCUAACGCUGU